rnacentral:lncRNA from 1 species
UUUAUGUUUUUAAAAUCUCCGAUUCAAACUCGCAAACCCUAAUUCCGCAAUAGAUCAAUAAACCUGAUCAUCCAAAAAAAUAAAAAAAUCCAUUUGAGUUUCCAGUAACUUGCAGAAAAAAAAAAAGAACCCUAAAUCAAGAAAGAGAGAUAAGUAUGUAUUACCUUGAAUUGAUCUUUGCGAUUUGUUGAAGUGGGGAUUUUGGCUGACAGAGAGAAGAAUGGAUCGGAGAUGUCUCGAUCCAAAGGGAGAGAUGUGGAUGGAGAGGUUAUUUGGUUAAUUAACUAGUCCGUAACGGUUAUGCUAAUGUAUUUUUCAUUCCGUAUUAUUAGCUUAACUUGCCUAUAAUUAACCUUUACAUUAAUUCUAAUUUUAGGAACACUGAACACAAUUAAAACCGG